rnacentral:rRNA from 1 species
GACGAACGCUGGCGGCGUGCUUAACACAUGCAAGUCGAACGGAAAGGCCCUGCUUUUGUGGGGUGCUCGAGUGGCGAACGGGUGAGUAACACGUGAGUAACCUGCCCUUGACUUUGGGAUAACUUCAGGAAACUGGGGCUAAUACCGGAUAGGAGCUCCUGCUGCAUGGUGGGGGUUGGAAAGUUUCGGCGGUUGGGGAUGGACUCGCGGCUUAUCAGCUUGUUGGUGGGGUGGUGGCUUACCAAGGCUUUGACGGGUAGCCGGCCUGAGAGGGUGACCGGCCACAUUGGGACUGAGAUACGGCCCAGACUCCUACGGGAGGCAGCAGUGGGGAAUAUUGCACAAUGGGCGGAAGCCUGAUGCAGCAACGCCGCGUGCGGGAUGACGGCCUUCGGGUUGUAAACCGCUUUCGCUUGUGACGAAGCGUGAGUGACGGUAAUGGGUAAAGAAGCACCGGCUAACUACGUG